rnacentral:sRNA from 1 species
AAGAAGAAGAAAAAAA